rnacentral:rRNA from 1 species
UUUGAUCAUGGCUCAAAACGAACGCUGGCGGCCCGCCUAACCCUUGCAAGUCAAACGUGAAAGGGGGCAACCCUGAUUAAAGUGGCGCACGGGUGAAAAACGCGUAGGUGAUCUACCUUUGUGACCGGAAUACCCAGCCAAAAGGUUGGCUAAUACUGGAUAGAGCGCUUGGUACGUAAAGUACUGGAGCGGGAAAGGGAGGCCGUACCAAUACGGCUUUUGCACUGAAAUGACCCUGCUUCUCAUUAGCUAGUUGGUAGGGUAACGGCCUACCAAGGCAUUGAUGGGUAGCUGGUCUGAGAGGACAAUCACCCACACUGGAACUGAAACACGGUCCAAACUCCUACGGGAGGCACCAGUGGGGAAUCUUGCGCAAUGGACAAAAGUCUGACGCA